rnacentral:rRNA from 1 species
CACGUAGGGGCGCAAGCGUUGUCCGGAAUUAUUGGGCGUAAAGAGCUCGUAGGCGGUCUGUUACGUCUGCUGUGAAAACCCAGGGCUUAACCCUGGGCUUGCAGUGGAUACGGGCAGACUAGAGGCAGGUAGGGGAGAAUGGAAUCCCGGUGUAGCGGUGAAUGCGCAGAUAUCGGGAGGAACACCGGUGGCGAAGGCGGGUCUCUGGGCCGAUACUGACGCUGAGGAGCGAAAGCGUGGGGAGCGAACAGG